CCUACGGGGUGCAGCAGUCGAGAAUCAUUCACAAUGGGGGAAACCCUGAUGGUGCGACGCCGCGUGGGGGAAUGAAGGUCUUCGGAUUGUAAACCCCUGUCAUGUGGGAGCAAAUUAAAAAGAUCGUACCACAAGAGGCAGAGACGGCUAACUCUGUGCCAGCAGCCGCGGUAAUACAGAGGUCUCAAGCGUUGUUCGGAAUCACUGGGCGUAAAGCGUGCGUAGGCUGUUUCGUAAGUCGUGUGUGAAAGGCGCGGGCUCAACCCGCGGACGGCACAUGAUACUGCGAGACUAGAGUAAGGGAGGGGGAACCGGAAUUCUCGGUGUAGCAGUGAAAUGCGUAGAUAUCGAGAGGAACACUCGUGGCGAAGGCGGGUUCCUGGACAUUAACUGACGCUGAGGCACGAAGGCCAGGGGAGCGAAAGGGAUUAGAUACCCCUGUAGUC
rnacentral:rRNA from 1 species